rnacentral:rRNA from 1 species
GAUGAACGCUGGCGGCGUGCCUAAUACAUGCAAGUCGAGCGAACGGACGAGAAGCUUGCUUCUCUGAUGUUAGCGGCGGACGGGUGAGUAACACGUGGAUAACCUCCCUAUCAGACUGGGAUAACUUCGGGACACCGGAGCUAAUCCCGUAUGAUAUUUUGAACCGCAUGGUUCAAAAGUGAAAGACGGUCUUGCUGUCUCUUAUAGAUGGAUCCCCGCUGCAUUAGCUAGUUGGUAAGGUAACGGCUUACCAAGGCAACGAUGCAUAGCCGACCUGAGAGGGUGAUAGGCGACACUGGAACUGGGACACGGACAAGACUACUAAGGGAGGCCGCAGUAGGGAACCGGACGCAAUGGGCGAAAGCCUGACGGAGCAAGGGGGCGUGAGUGAUGAAGGUCUUCGGAUCGGAAAACUCUGUUAUUAGGGAAGAACAGAUGUGUAAGUAACUGUGGACAGCGUGACGGUACCGAAUAAGAAAGCCACGGCUAACUACGUG